rnacentral:rRNA from 1 species
AGAGUUUGAUCCUGGCUCAGGAUGAACGCUAGCGACAGGCUUAACACAUGCAAGUCGAGGGGCAGCAUGAUUUGUAGCAAUACAGAUUGAUGGCGACCGGCGCACGGGUGAGUAACGCGUAUGCAACUUACCUAUCAGAGGGGGAUAGCCCGGCGAAAGUCGGAUUAAUACCCCAUAAAACAGGGGUCCCGCAUGGGAAUAUUUGUUAAAGAUUCAUCGCUGAUAGAUAGGCAUGCGUUCCAUUAGGCAGUUGGCGGGGUAACGGCCCACCAAACCGACGAUGGAUAGGGGUUCUGAGAGGAAGGUCCCCCACAUUGGUACUGAGACACGGACCAAACUCCUACGGGAGGCAGCAGUGAGGAAUAUUGGUCAAUGGCCGAGAGGCUGAACCAGCCAAGUCGCGUGAAGGAAGAAGGAUCUAUGGUUUGUAAACUUCUUUUAUAGGGGAAUAAAGUGUGGAACGUGUUCCAUUUUGUAUGUACCGUAUGAAUAAGCAUCGGCUAACUCCGUGCCAGCAGCCGCGGUAAUACGGAGGAUGCGAGCGUUAUCCGGAUUUAUUGGGUUUAAAGGGAGCGCAGACGGGUCGUUAAGUCAGCUGUGAAAGUUUGGGGCUCAACCUUAAAAUUGCAGUUGAUACUGGCGUCCUUGAGUGCGGUUGAGGUGUGCGGAAUUCGUGGUGUAGCGGUGAAAUGCUUAGAUAUCACGAAGAACUCCGAUUGCGAAGGCAGCCUGCUAAGCUGCAACUGACAUUGAGGCUCGAAAGUGUGGGUAUCAAACAGGAUUAGAUACCCUGGUAGUCCACACGGUAAACGAUGGAUACUCGCUGUUGGCGAUAUACUGUCAGCGGCUUAGCGAAAGCGUUAAGUAUCCCACCUGGGGAGUACGCCGGCAACGGUGAAACUCAAAGGAAUUGACGGGGGC